GACGAACGCUGGCGGCGUGCCUAAUACAUGCAAGUGGGACGCAAGGAAACACACUGUGCUUGCACACCGUGUUUUCUUGAGUCGCGAACGGGUGAGUAACGCGUAGGUAACCUGCCUAUUAGCGGGGGAUAACUAUUGGAAACGAUAGCUGAUACCGCAUAAUAUUAAUUAUUGCAUGAUAAUUGAUUGAAAGAUGCAAGCGCAUCACUAGUAGAUGGACCUGCGUUGUAUUAGCUAGUUGGUAAGGUAAGAGCUUACCAAGGCGACGAUACAUAGCCGACCUGAGAGGGUGAUCGGCCACACUGGGACUGAGACACGGCCCAGACUCCUACGGGAGGCAGCAGUAGGGAAUCUUCGGCAAUGGACGAAAGUCUGACCGAGCAACGCCGCGUGAGUGAAGAAGGUUUUCGGAUCGUAAAGCUCUGUUGUAAGUCAAGAACGUGUGUGAGAGUGGAAAGUUCACACAGUGACGGUAGCUUACCAGAAAGGGACGGCUAACUACGUG
rnacentral:rRNA from 1 species